rnacentral:tRNA from 1 species
GGAGUUGUGGCUCAGUGGUAUAGCGUUUGCCUGGCAUGCAUGAGAUCCUGGGUUUGAUCCUCAGCACCG